AGGCGAAGGAACUGAGUGAACAUGAGGAUCCCCAAAGGCUGGAAAAGGCAGCCUGCAUCUGUGAAUACUUUACAGGAACUAAUGUCACUAAAUCACACGAGAGGAAGGGAUGUUACUUUGGCCUUAACACGUGUCUAUUUCUUUGUUCUCUCUAAUGAUGUAAAAAUUCCAUUUUCAUGAGAUUUCAGUCUUUGAGACAGUUAAACUUUCAAUACCCACAAACACUAUACUAAUGUACAGUGGUGGAAUUUU
rnacentral:lncRNA from 1 species